rnacentral:rRNA from 1 species
UACGUAGGGUGCGAGCGUUAAUCGGAAUUACUGGGCGUAAAGCGUGCGCAGGCGGUUCGUUAUGUCCGAUGUGAAAGCCCCGAGCUCAACUUGGGAAUGGCAUUGGAAACUGGCGGGCUGGAGUGUGGCAGAGGGGGGUGGAAUUCCUGGUGUAGCGGUGAAAUGCGCAGAUAUCAGGAGGAACACCAAUGGCGAAGGCAGCACUCUGGGACGUGACUGACGCUGAGACGCGAAAGCGUGGGGAGCAAACAGG